CCUUGUGCCAGCAGCCGCGGUAAUUCCAGCUCCAAUAGCGUAUAUUAAAGUUGUUGCGGUUAAAAAGCUCGUAGUUGGAUCUCGGCAAGUAGAGGGCGGUAUGCUUCGUAGCAUUACUGCCCUAUUACUUGUAGUUUUGCCAGAGGUUCCUGGGUGCUCUUAAUCGAGUGUCUAGGGAUGCUGGCAGGUUUACUUUGAAAAAAUUAGAGUGCUCAAAGCAGGCUAUUACGCUUGAAUAUUCGUGCAUGGAAUAAUAGAAUAGGAAGUUGUUUCUAUUUUGUUGGUUUUCGGAAAUCGACUUAAUGAUUAAUAGGGACAGUCGGGGGCAUUUGUAUUCAAACGACAGAGGUGAAAUUCUUGGACCGUUUGAAGACAAACUACUGCGAAAGCAUUUGCCAAGAAUGUUUUCAUUAAUCAAGAACGAAAGUUAGAGGUUCGAAGGCGAUUAGAUACCGCCCUAGUUCUAACCAUAAACGAUGCCAGCUAGCGAUCUGAGGACGUUUUUUUUGUAGACUCCUCAGGAAGCUUCCGGGAAACCAAAGCGUGUGGGUUCCGGGGGAAGUAUGGUUGCAAAGCUGAAACUUAAAGGAAUUGACGGAAGGGCACCACCAGGAGUGUAGCCUGCGGCUUAAUUUGACUCAACACGGGAAAUCUCACCAGGCCCGGACACUGGAAGGAUUGACAGAUUGAGAGCUCUUUCUCGAUUCGGUGGGUGGUGGUGCAUGGCCGUUCUUAGUUGGUGGAGUGAUUUGUCUGGUUAAUUCCGAUAACGAACGAGACUCUGUCCUGCUAAAUAGUGUCAGCCUCUCUUCUGGGCUGACAAUACUUCUUAGAGGGACUGGCGGCUCCUAGCCGCACGAGAUAGAGCAAUAACAGGUCUGUGAUGCCCA
rnacentral:rRNA from 1 species